UUAGCCCUAUGGGAGGCAGCAGUGGGGGAUAUUGCACAAUGGGGGGAACCCUGAUGCAGCGACGCCGCGUGUGGGAAGACGGUCCUCUGGAUUGUAGACCACUGUCCCCAGGGACGAAAAUGACGGUACCUGGGGAGGAAGCUCCGGCUAACUACGUGCCAGCAGCCGCGGUAAUACGUAGGGAGCGAGCGUUGUCCGGAAUUACUGGGUGUAAAGGGAGCGUAGGCGGGGAAGCAAGUUGGGUGU
rnacentral:rRNA from 1 species